rnacentral:rRNA from 1 species
UGGAUGGAUCUAGCUGUUUCAUUGGCUGUAYAACGACGGGCWGKRRAKSCSKMMUCAUGGGWYGRAUMUSUKUCCAAUUCGCCCUUAGAGUUUGAUCCUGGCUCAGAACRAACGCUGGCGGCGUGCUUAACACAUGCAAGUCGAACGUGAUUGAGAGCUUGCUCUCAUGAAAGUGGCGCACGGGUGAGUAACACGUGGAUAAUCUGCCUGGCGAUUCGGGAUAACACUUCGAGAGGGUUGCUAAUACCGGAUAAGCCCACGGUCUCUUCGGAGAGCGCGGGAAAAGGGGGCCUCUGUAUAUGCUCCUGUCGCUAGAUGAGUCCGCGGCCCAUUAGCUAGUUGGUAGGGUAAUGGCCUACCAAGGCUACRAUGGGUAGCUGGUCUGARAGGAUGAUCAGCCACACUGGAACUGAGACACGGUCCAGACUCCUACGGGAGGCAGCAGUGGGGAAUUUUGCGCAAUGGGCGAAAGCCUGACGCAGCAACGCCGCGUGAGUGAUGAAGGCCUUCGGGUCGUAAAGCUCUGUCAGAGGGGAAGAACCGCCGGGUGGCUAAUACCUGCCUGGUCUGACGGUACCCUCAAAGGAAGCACCGGCUAACUCCGUGCCAGCAGCCGCGGUAAUAC